UUUCAAGGGAGACUGAUAUGUUUG
rnacentral:piRNA from 1 species